rnacentral:RNase_MRP_RNA from 2 species
UCCUCGCUCAAAGAAUCGCAUUCAAAGCUUACGCACAGGAAAUCCUUCGGGAUUCUCCUCUUCUUUCCAUGAAAGAAAACAGCUUUGGGAGAAAGUCCCCGGACACCCUGACCUAAUAUACCUGGUCACGCAAUGCGGAAACGCGCCGCCAUAAAAGCAAUUUGAUAGCGGCUUAUUUGCCCUAUUCCCUACCGAUGCUCUGUCUAUAUCCGACGCCUUUCACCGGGUGGAAAUAAUGGCGGUAUAGCUGGGUGUUGGAGAGGGGUUGUUUCAUUGGGUUGCCUUUCGUCGUGUUUGGAUAGUCAUGCGAUUGCCUUGUUUUUCGCCUUCGGGGAAAGAUGGGUAACUCAAUGGGGCUCAUUCUUGAGGCGAGG